UACGGGGGGAGCAAGCGUUGUUCGGAUUUACUGGGCGUAAAGAGCUCGUAGGCGGUUCGGUAAGUCGGGUGUGAAAACUUUGGGCUCAACCCAAAGCGUGCACUCGAUACUGCCAUGACUAGAGUUCGGUAGGGGAGUGGGGAAUUCCUAGUGUAGCGGUGAAAUGCGCAGAUAUUAGGAGGAACACCGGUGGCGAAGGCGCCACUCUGGGCCGAAACUGACGCUGAGGAGCAAAAGCGUGGGUAGCAAACAGG
rnacentral:rRNA from 1 species